rnacentral:rRNA from 1 species
UCAAGCUACUAAGGGCAUACGGCGGAUGCCUAGGCGCCAUCAGCCGAUGAAGGACGCGGUAAGCUGCGAAAAGCUACGGGGAACUGCAAGCAAGUAUUGAUCCGUAGAUGUCCGAAUGGGGAAACCCACCUGCCGUCAUGGGCAGGUAUCCGAAAGGAAGGGAACCCGGGGAACUGAAACAUCUAAGUACCCGGAGGAAGAGAAAUCAAACGAGAUGCCCACAGUAGCGGCGAGCGAAGAGGGCAGAGGGCAAACCGGGGAGCUACGGCUCUCCGGGGUUGAGGACUGCAUUUAGUCUUAAUGGUCUAUCCGAACUACCUGGAAAGGUAGGCAACACAGUGUAAAAGCCACGUAGGUUAAAGACCGGAGAGAUGAGCAGUAUCCAGAGUACCACGAGGCACGAGGAAUCUUGUGGGAAGCCGGGGGGACCACCCUCCAACCCUAAACACUGAAUGGCGACCGAUAGCGCAUAGUACCGUGAGGGAAAGGUGAAAAGAACCCCGGGAGGGGAGUGAAAGAGAACCUGAAACCGUAUGUCUACAAGCAGUCGGAGCGAAAGCGACGGCGUGCCUAUUGAAGAAUGAACCAACGAGUUACGUGCACUAGCGAGGUUAAGUGGAAGACACGGAGCCGAAGCGAAAGCGAGUCUUAAGAGGGCGGAUAGUUAGUGUACGUAGACCCGAAACCGCAGUGAUCUACCCAUGUCCAGGUUGAAGCGCAGGUAAAAUUGCGUGGAGGACCGAACCUGUGAGCGUUGAAAAGCUUUAGGAUGAGAUGUGGGUAGAGGUGAAAUUCCAAUCGAACGCGGAGAUAGCUGGUUCUCCCCGAAAUAGCUUUAGGGCUAGCCUCAAGUAGUAAGUAUAGGCGGUAGAGCACUGAUCGGGCUAGGGGCCAUAAAGGUUACCGAACCCUGUCAAACUCCGAAUGGUUAUACUGUAGAGCUUGGGAGUCAGACUACGAGUGAUAAGAUCCGUGGUCAAAAGGGAAACAGCCCAGACCACCAGCUAAGGUCCCCAAUGUCGUACUAAGUGGAAAAGGAUGUGGGGUCUCUAAAACAACCAGGAUGUUGGCUUAGAAGCAGCCACCAUUUAAAGAGUGCGUAAUAGCUCACUGGUCGAGAGACCCUGCGCCGAAGAUUACCGGGGCUAAAGUACGAAACCGAAGCUGUGGCUACGACUUAGGUCGUGGGGUAGGGGAGCGUUCUGUGAGGGCUGAAGUCGUUCUGUAAGGAACGGUGGACUUCACAGAAGUGAGAAUGUUGGUAUGAGUAGCGAAAAGAAUGGUGAGAAUCCAUUCCACCGAAAGCAUAAGGAUUCCUGGGCAACGAUCGUCGUCCCAGGGUAAGUCGGGACCUAAUCCGAGGCAUGGAGCGUAGGAGAUGGACAACUGGCAGAUAUUCCAGUACCGGUAAUGAUUGUUUGAGCGAUGGAGUGACACAGGAGGGCAGGCAGGCAGGAGAUUGGUUGUUCCUGUACAAGCGUGUAGGAUGGGUUGCAGGCAAAUCCGCAACCUGUGAGUCUGAGGCGUGAUGUGGAGGUUCCGGAAACGGAACUGAAGCUGCUGACCCCACACUGUCGAGAAAAGCUUCUAGUUAGAGAAUUACCGCCCGUACCGUAAACCGACACAGGUAUGCGGGGAGAGAAUCCUAAGGUGCGCGGGAGAACCCUCGUUAAGGAACUCGGCAAAAUGUACCCGUAACUUCGGGAUAAGGGUAGCCGCUGUUGUGAAGUCUGCACAGAUGGAGCAUGAGGCGGUCGCAGAGAAGAGGCCCAAGCGACUGUUUACCACAAACACAGGUGCCUGCUAAAGAGAAAUCUGACGUAUAGGUGCUGACACCUGCCCAGUGCCGGAAGGUUAAGGAAGGAUGUCCGGAGCAAUCCAAAGCAUUCGACCGAAGCCCCGGUGAACGGCGGCCGUAACUAUAACGGUCCUAAGGUAGCGAAAUUCCUUGUCGGGUAAG